CCACAUUUUACAUAUUGUUGUACUAUAUGGAGCAAUCCAAGAAAUGCUGAAAAUGUGAAUAAGCUUUUUAUAUUGCAAAAACGAGCUGCAAGGGUAAUUCUUAACAUCAGAAAUUUUGAAACACCAUCUAAUGUCAUGUUUACAGAACUUAACUGGUUGCCUCUAUCAGAUUACUUUGUCUAUAGAAAAGUCAUUUUAGUGUAUAAAGUUUUACAUGGUUUAAUGCCAGAUUAUUUAAAUGUUUUUAAAUAUGUAUCAGAAGUCAGUCAGAGGCAAACUAGAAAUUCUUAUUCAAAUAUUUUGUAUAUACCCAGGGCAAAAACAGAAUAUUAUAGAAGAUCUUUCAGCAUUUCAGGGAGCACAGUGUGGAAUGCCUUGAGUCAAAACAUAAGAAACUCAACGAGUGUUGCGUGUUUUAAGAGAAAUUAUCUUAGAGAUUAUCACCAUACUUUUUAAGCUUCAUUUUGUAUUCUAUUUAUCUUACAUUCAUAAUUAUUUCUUAAGUUUAUAUGUAUUCUACUUCUUUUAAUCUGUGUUUAUUUUACUAAUAUCUGUCUGUAUGUAUGUUAUAUGCAGGACCAUAUUGAAAACUAGCGUUAUCGCUAAAUAUGUAAUCCUGGUUAAAUAAAGGUCUUAUUAUUAUUAUUAUUAUUAUAGACAACAGUAGAAUUUGUAUAAUUGAAAGAAAUAUGAUUAUCAUUGAGGGAAGUUUUGAAAUCAAAACAAUUAGGUUUCGAAAUUAGGUUUAAUAUUUUGUACAAGAGUGUGUACGUGGAUUGUGUUUAUUAUGUGUAAAUUCUCCUUUAGAUUUAUUUUUGUCCAAUCAAAACAAUUGUAAUAAAUAAUAUUGGAAUUAUAGUUCUAUAUCAUGUAGUUAGUAUUGGUAUUGAUUUUGUGCAUAUGAUAUUAUUAUGUUCAAUAAGUAACGUCUUGUAUAUACUGUGUUAUGCAUAUUUAGUGCAUGUAGAGUUAUAUAAAUCGGAAAUUAGC